GUCGGGAUAGCUACAGUUGUACCAGGAAA
rnacentral:tRNA from 1 species